AAAAUGACUCUCGGCAACGGAUAUCCCGGCUCUCGCAUCGAUGAAGAACG
rnacentral:rRNA from 2 species